rnacentral:lncRNA from 1 species
AAUAACCUCUGUUACGAGACUGUUCAAUUUUUCACACUGCUGUCACGCACACAAAAAAAUGCAACAUUCCACUAGCUGUUUCCAAAAGCUCUGGGUGACAAGACACACACACUCACUACGAAAAGUCCAGCAGGUGCCAAUUGGUGUUGCUGCAGCAAGAAAGAAUAACAACGAGAGCUGUGAAAGUCUCCACUAUCCUGGGAAAGAAUCGGGCAUCUCCCUACUUGGAUAACCACAGUAUCCUCUCAAACACAAGGCCUCUGUUUGAAUGCCACCCAAACACCAUAUUAAGCAGUAUUUUUAUUCCCAACCCUGGGACAAGAACGGAAGCUCUAGGAGACAGGCUGUGUCUGCAGGACUCAGAACUGCCUGGAAUGUGUCCAGAGGUGGGAUGCUGGAGAAGAGGACUUUCCACCUGCUCCCCAGCAAGCAUCAUUCAGCCUCUUCUAGGACCUCCGUCAUCUUGGAUUGACGUCCAAAGAUCGUGGGGCUCAGACUAGCUUGUUAUGCGACAGUCAUCGCCAUCACUUGGGCAAAGCGGAUGCUCAGGGAGCACUCACUCUGUGCCACAGGGUUGAUGUGCACGUAACACAGGUCACCUCAUUG